GAGAAAAGAAAAGAGAGGGUUAGAAGGAGAAGCUCUUUUUCCAUUUAGUUUUCCCUGCCUCUUUUACUCCACGCCAUCUCCCUUUCUCUCACUCUAACUUCACAUAUCCUCCUAAUCUCGCUGGAUCGACCACCGGAACCGGUCAUUGGCUGUGACUCCUGCAUCCCACGUCGUCCCCUUUCAUCCAAAUCUGCUCAGCCUAUUUUUAGUUUUAAGCAUGAAAUUGGAACCUCCACACACACCCAUUUCGAAUUUUAUCAAAGAGUAAGGUGCAUGAUGAGAAAUUGAAGGCAUUGAGGCUGCGAGAAAUGAAGAUGAGAUACUACUUUAUGUUCGUGAUAUGACAUUGAACGUUGUGUGAUUGCGUGGAGUUUAAUUGUUACAGUUUUUUUUAACAUUAUUUGAAUAUGUUUGAGUUUUAUUAAAUUGGAUGUUUUGUAAGUAUUUUGAAAUAUUAUUUACAUUGUUUUUUUAUUUAGAAUUAUUUACAAAAUAAUGAGAUUUUGGUAUGUCGUACCGUAGUCCGAUAUACCGUAAAACUCUGGUAUACCGCAAAAGUACGAUAUAUUGAGUUUAAGUAUGACAUACCAAAAAUGAGGUAUGGUAUCAGUAUUGAAAUUUUCCAUACCGAAAAUAAGGUAUACCGGAGUUCGAUAUACCAAAAAUUUUGGUAAGGUAAAUGUAUGAUUUUUUCUAGCGAAUUUUCGGUAAGGUAUAUGAUGGUUUCGGUAAGGUAUACCUUACCUACCCAUCCCUACCUCAGAUAGCCUACGGGAUAAGGUUAGCAAUCAUGAAGCGGUAGACAUUGUCCGAGAUGUGUGAGUUAGCAUGGAUCAGGUAGAAAGGUUAACGUCUUGCAAGAAACUUGUGGAUUUGUCACUGACAAAGAGGAUAUCUUGAUGACAUUAGCAUUAUGAUUAUUCAAUUAACUCAAUUUAUUCGGUGAGGAUUACUUUCAAAUUUAAAUUUUGAUGAUCCUAUUAAAAUGAGCAUUCUAGGUGACAUGCUCUUCUAUAUGUUGGUCAUUUCACCAGCGGCAAGAUGAUAAUAUAAAUAGAAUUUGUACA